UUUUGUUUUCGUUACAUCUCUAUGCGGCGAAACCCUAGAUGGAGACGCGACUCUGGAAUUCAGUCGAAUGUCGCAAAUCGACAUCUAUGGGUUGUUUUAGAGAAGGCCAAAGCGAUGGGAACUGUGUAUCGUCCUGAAGAUUCAAAUCUUCCUCUUCUAUUGGGUCUUAUUGGGGGUCCCUCGGUUCCGAUAUUUAAUUUUCGAUUAAAGUUUCAAAAGGGGAUCUAGAUCGAUUUCGGAGAUCUGUUAAAGAUUGAAGAACAUGAAACCAAGAACGCCUCCGGUGAAACCCUAAAUCGCGUUGCGAACCUGGAGCUCUUGGUUUAGUUGCAUACAUCUGUCGUUUAAUCUUCCGCUGACAAAGGUAAGUUCUUGGACUGUACCAUAGCAUUGAUUUCAGAGUUGUGCAAUAGCUUAUGCUUUUGUUUAAAAACGUUUUUAUGGUGUGAUGUAAGGUUGAAUUGCAAUAAUGACAGCUUUCCAUGAAGAGAGAGGUAAAUAAGAUAGUGAAAUGCUACUUUGUUGAUGUUAUAUUACCUUUCUUAUGGAAGAAUGUAUGUGUGUUGAUAUCUUAUUUUUUUAUUAUCUUGAGGUUUACCCUAAGAAAACACAAUCGUAUAACACUCUAAUGUUCUACAGAUUACAUUUUAUUGACGUAGGAUUAUUACUAUAUGACAUAGGUUUGUAAAACUACUUUGUUUCCUUAUAACGUAUCUUACAUUCUCAACUGCUUCGACCAGGGUUUCUGGAAGGAAGAUGUACCAUUAACAAGAUUGUGAGUAUUAAUUUGGAUUCAUUUGUUUACGUUAUGUUUUCUCUUAUGAAAGAAGGAACAUGUGUUGAUGUCUUAUCUUUAUUAUUUGGCGGUUUUAUGCUGGUAAAACACAUAUACAUAUUCUAUAGAUUACAUUGGUUGAUGUAGGAUUAUUAUGUGACAUGGAGGAUUUAACACGUGUUUCGAAGUAA